AGCGAACGUUUGCGGCGGGCCUAACACAUGCAAGUCGAACGCACUAGCAAUAGUGAGUGGCGCACGGGUGCGUAACACGUGGGUAAUCAACCCUUCAGCUUGGGAUAACGACUUGAAAGGGUCGCUAAUACCGGAUACGGCGAGAGAGGCUUCGGCAUUUCUCGAGAAAGCCUCGCAAGGGGCACUGAAGGACGAGCCUGCGGCCCAUCAGCUAGUUGGUGAGGUAAGAGCUCACCAAGGCGAAGACGGGUAGCUGGUCUGAGAGGAUGAUCAGCCACACUGGAACUGAGACACGGUCCAGACUCCUACGGGAGGCAGCAGUGGGGAAUAUUGCGCAAUGGGCGAAAGCCUGACGCAGCCACGCCGCGUGAGCGAUGAAGGCCUUCGGGUCGUAGAGCUCUGUGGGGAGAGACGAAGAAAGCCCGUGAAGAGCGGGUCUUGACGGGUAUCUCCUUAGCAAGCACCGGCUAACUCCGUGCCAGCAGCCG
rnacentral:rRNA from 1 species